UAUUCUCUGUCUGUUUUCCCUAUUUUCCUCGGCCUUUAGUGUAGUGGGAUUUCGGGGGUUUGUAGAUGAUUGGUGUGACGCCCCCAAAAUAGGUAUACAUCACCCAUCUUGAGUCUCCAAACAACUUAAUUAUACAACAGUCGUGUAAAAUACGACAAAACAUAAUCUAAGAGUUUUAAUAAGAAUAUUGUCAUCUAGACAAUAUCCACACUCAAUGGAGUCCUCAUUACAUUUAUUGUCACACUAUUUAACAAAAUAGUGAGGACUACUAAUGCUAUCAUCUGGACUGUAACUCCGUUCCCAGACUAGAAUAACGCCCUCUUGAACCUUCUUCUUCACAUUCAUCAGCUCUGAGUAUGUAGCUUGCACGUCUUUAACUUUAUCGAUUAAAGUUGAUUCUACUCGUAUAUUUAAUAUGACCAC
rnacentral:lncRNA from 1 species